UUGGAAUAUUGUCUCAACACCAGGGUUCAAGUUUGUUAGUCCUACUGAGACAUCAGGUCAGAAGAAAAGAACAAAAGUGAGAAGGCAUUCAUGGCUUUGCAUUCUCAGAAAGACAUCCUGCUGGUUCAACUGUGUAUGAUUGAGCAUAUUGUCAUUGAUGAAGAAUUUUUAUUUAUUUUUGAUCAAAGACUUCACCAUGUUUUCCUGACCUUUUCAAUCUCCUGUUUGCAGAGUUUUAACGUGAGCUCUCCUCGGGCCUGGGAGAAAUUCUGAGAGUGACCCCUGAGAAUGGGCUCAGUGGUGAGAAGCCCAAGGACAGGAUGAGGUCGACAUUGCAAGUGUUUUUGGAAUAAGAAUCAACACACUUAAAGACUGGGAUUUGGAAGUGAGAAGGAGUACAUGGAAGUGAUUAAGGAAAACAAGGAAAUGAGACACAAGUGGCAACAUUUGUCAAAGUUCUAUGCAUUUGUUCCUUUGGAUUCAAGUGAAACAUCUGGAGUCAAUUCUUAACCCAAUGUUGGUUUGUUGUCACCAACCUCUUUGCCCUGCUAUUGGACACAGUAAGAACCUUGUCAUCUGUAAAGCUGUAAGAGGACCCUUACCAAGAAAAUAACAAUGCUGGCACAGUUCUUUUGGACUUUCAGCCUCCAGAACUGGGAGAAAUAAAUGUUU